UCAGGCCUAACACAUGCAAGUCGAGCGGGGUUUUCGGACCUAGCGGCGGACGGGUGAGUAAUGCGUAGGAAGCUACCCGAUAGAGGGGGAUACCAGUUGGAAACGACUGUUAAUACCGCAUAAUGUCUACGGACCAAAGUGUGGGACCUUCAGGCCACAUGCUAUCGGAUGUGCCUACGUGGGAUUAGCUAGUUGGUGAGGUAAUGGCUCACCAAGGCGACGAUCCCUAGCUGGUUUGAGAGGAUGAUCAGCCAAACUGGAAGUGAGACACGGUCCAGACUCCUACGGGAGGCAGCAGUGGGGAAUAUUG
rnacentral:rRNA from 1 species